rnacentral:rRNA from 1 species
UACGGAGGGUGCAAGCGUUGUUCGGAAUCACUGGGCGUAAAGCGCGUGUAGGCGGCCAUUUAAGUCUGGUGUGAAAGCCCUGGGCUCAACUCAGGAAGUGCACUGGAUACUGGAUGGCUGGAGUACCGGAGAGGAGGGUGGAAGUCCUGGUGUAGCGGUGAAAUGCGUAGAUAUCAGGAGGAACACCGGUGGCGAAGGCGUCCCUCUGGCCGGAUACUGACGCUGAGACGCGAAAGCGUGGGGAGCAAACAGG